rnacentral:rRNA from 1 species
GAUGAACGCUAGCUACAGGCUUAACACAUGCAAGUCGAGGGGAAACGACAUCGAAAGCUUGCUUUUGAUGGGCGUCGACCGGCGCACGGGUGAGUAACGCGUAUCCAACCUGCCCACCACUUGGGGAUAACCUUGCGAAAGUAAGACUAAUACCCGAUGAUAUCUCUAUAAGACAUCUGAAAGGGAUUAAAGAUUUAUCGGUGAUGGAUGGGGAUGCGUCUGAUUAGCUUGUUGGCGGGUAACGGCCCACCAAGGCGACGAUCAGUAGGGGUUCUGAGAGGAAGGUCCCCCCACAUUGGAACUGAGACACGGUCCAAACUCCUAC